rnacentral:lncRNA from 1 species
AGUCCACUUCUGCCAGGCAAACACAGACAGUUUCUAGUUGCAAGAUAUCCCCCAUGGCAGAGAAAAAAAAAAGUUUCUUCUGGGAUGCAGACAAUCCAGGAAUCAGUGAUAAUCCACUGACCUUUCUAGGAAGUAAGAGCAAAGAACAAACAGGUUAGAUUCUGAGAAGCUGUUUCUAAGUUUGAUGGUUUUUUUUUUCCUAAGCCUGAGGCACUGAGAAGGGUUCAAGCUUGUAUUCUCCAGAUGCAAGCCAACCUAUUGCUGCAACUGACAAAUGAGUAUAAUACUGACACAAAUGUGGGCUGUUUUUGUUUGUGUGUGAAGACAUAUGUCAGAACUCCACUCAUCUGUCAAUGAUGGUGCAAAUAAAGCCCGAUUUCCACUGGCAGCUAUUAUAACCAGGAGAGGAUCCUGCCUUUGGCUAAGGCCAGCGGAAAGGAAGGCAAAUGGAGAGACACAAAGAGCCUGAAUCUUUGAGCCAUCACUCAGUUGCGAUCAAACUGCCUGGAACCCACCCCACCCCGAUCGCCUGCUCGGACAAAAAUAACUGAAGCUCCCAUUGUUCAAACCAGCUUGUGUCAUGAUUUACUGUUACAGCACACUGAAGUCCUGAGCCCUCCGCCACCCGCAAGGCCUUCCUCGGAGACAGGGACCUAUCCAGAGAUGUCUCUGUCACUGUCAGGAUGCGCUGCAAGUGGACAAAGGGUUUCCUUCGUGUUGACCCUAAGAAGACCUCGACUUGAUCAAGGAAGAACUGAGCAUGGCUUGCAGUAGAGACAGUCACACACAGCUUCCCAUGAAUAGGUGUGGGCCUGAUCAUCUUAGCACCUUCUCUAGCCUUCAAGAAGCUCUCAAAAUCAGGGCCAUCUUGGUAUUUCACUAGCUGCUUCUUUCUUUUUUUGAUAUUUUAAGAGACAGGGACUUGCUAUGUUGCCCAGGUUGGACUUGUAUUCCUGGGCUCAAGCCAUUAUCCUGCCCCAGGGCUCCCAAGUAGCUGGGACUACAGGCCUGUGCCACCUCACCCACCCUCGCUGUUUAUUUCAAUGAACUGCAGGUUGAUGAUGAUCAAUCUUCUUUCCUAAUCUCCUGGUUGAAAUUAGGGAUAUUCAGAUUUUUUUGAAGUGGAGACUAUCAGGGUGUUAGAAGACCUAGUUCUGAACCUGCUCUCUGCUAACUUACCAUACGACUUUAGGCAAGUUGCUGCCCCACUAAGAACUUCAGUCUUAUCUGUGAAAUCAAGGGACUGGACUAAGUGGUCUCCGAGAUCCCCUCCAGCUGAAACCAUCUCCUGUACUGUCCACUAUUAUAGCAAAUAACCACACAUGGCUGAUUAAAUCUAAAUUAAUGAAAUAAAA